rnacentral:rRNA from 1 species
UCGGGAAUCUUCGGCAAUGGACGAAAGUCUGACCGAGCAACGCCGCGUGAGUGAAGAAGGUUUUCGGAUCGUAAAACUCUGUUGUUAGAGAAGAACAAGGACGUUAGUAACUGAACGUCCCCUGACGGUAUCUAACCAGAAAGCCACGGCUAACUACGUGCCAGCAGCCGCGGUAAUACGUAGGUGGCAAGCGUUGUCCGGAUUUAUUGGGCGUAAAGCGAGCGCAGGCGGUUUCUUAAGUCUGAUGUGAAAGACCCCGGCUCAAGCGGGGAGGGUCAUUGGAAACUGGGAGACUUGAGUGCAGAAGAGGAGAGUGGAAUUCCAUGUGUAGCGGUGAAAUGCGUAGAUAUAUGGAGGAACACCAGUGGCGAAGGCGGCUCUCUGGUCUGUAACUGACGCUGAGGCUCGAAAGCGUGGGGAGCAAACAGG